CAAAAUUGACUGGGUGGUAGAGUUGUAGUUGUGUCAUAAUUCCAAUUCAAACCCAUACAAUCUUGACAAAGAAAAAAAAAUUGUCCUCUCAAGUGUACGUGAACUAUGUAUGAUCAAAAAUAUUUAGUAUUUUGAUCUUUUUUUUUGGUAAAUUUAAUCACGAUGGUUUGUAAGGAACCAUGUUAAGAAAACAGCUCAAAACUUACCAGACAACUCUUUUAUUCAUUGCCUUGAAAUUAAUUUGAGAAAUUAGUGUGACAUUCUUAAUUGUUUUUUUUUGUGAACAACUCUUAAUCGUUGAUUAUUUUUAGUUAUCUUGUGAAUUUUUUUCUGUGUUAUCUCUAAAAUUUCAUAUUAUUUUUCGGUUCAUAUAUAUCUCUUUUAUCUUUGAGGUAUCUUGAGGUGUCAUUAUUUGCAAUGUUCUAAAUGAUUGUAAAAGUAAUUAGUGAGACAUUCUUAACUGUUUUUUUUUUGUGAGCAAUUCUUAAUUGUUGAUUAUUUUUAGUUAUCUUGUGAUUUUUUUUCUGUGUUAUCGCUAAAAUUUCAUAUUAUUUUUUCGGUUCCUAUCUUUUUUAUCUUUGAAGUAUCUUGAGACUUGAGGUGUCAUUAUUCGCAAUGAUCCGAGUGAUCGUAAAAAAGAGAACAAAAUGAUAUCAUUAUCAUAGUACUGUAUAUGUUAAAAUUCGAUACUUUAAAAAGUGAAAAAGAAAGAAGAUAGAUGCAAUUAUUGAUGCAAACACUCUGGACAAAGGAAUAUGAUUGGUGCAAACUCUAACGAAUGGUAUUUUUAUCCAUGUAGAUCUGAUUACAAGCAAUGUUAGUCAGACACGUGAUGGAUUAGAUCUAGAUAAGUUGGGACUGAAACUUGUAUGCAGUGUUUUAAUUAGGCCACUUCUAUUUUAAACCUUGCUCAUUAGAUGACAAAAAACAUACGGGAUUCCACUAAACCUAUAUUCAUCUACACAAUCGUUGAAGUGGGAUGCCAGUAGCAAUUCGACGAAAAGAAAAAAAAAAAAAACAGACAACUUCUGAGGUCUAAGGUGGAACUUUCGAACUGAAACAGAUAGUGUCUCUUGGUAUUUGUAAUCUCUUUUCACAGUGUCUCAAGGGAAAAAACGAUAAGGAGAUCAUGAGGGAGAUUCAAGCUCCAAUGAGACAAGCUAACUUACUUGCCAUGUCUUGAUGGAAACAUAUUCACAAGGACGACGCACUCAUUCUUUUACAGGAAUGACGAAGAGGAUGAAGAGUGACUGACACCACUCACACUAGCACACUGUUGCCUCUCCAUCUCUUGUUUAGUCCAAAAUGCAACAAACAAAAAUACAAUUUGAGGUCUUAUUUGGCCUGUAAGGGUGAAUCCAAACUUUUUGUUCUAAUCAGGGGAAACAAAAGGGCGGGAAUUUACAAUGGGAAUGGAAAUAUACAUUUGCAGGGACAGUUCUGUGAUUAAAUUAAGCCGUUGAUGGACUUGGAUAAGAAGUUACUGUGAUCACAUUCUCUCUCUCACUCCUCGGUACACAGCACCAGCUUGAAGAUCAUCCAUGUUGUCUAUGUUCCUAAAGCCAUCAACUUGCAGAUAUGUCCAUCCGCGUCUAGCCAGAAAAUCGCGGUAAUCUUCUUCCGUGUAGAAUAUUUUCUCUUCUGUAUGGACUGGUAACUGGUUGGAUUCAUCGUAAUG